rnacentral:rRNA from 1 species
UGAGUAACGCGUAUCCAACCUGCCGUCUACUCUUGGACAGCCUUCUGAAAGGAAGAUUAAUACAAGAUGGCAUCAUGAGUCCGCAUGUUCACAUGAUUAAAGGUAUUCCGGUAGACGAUGGGGAUGCGUUCCAUUAGAUAGUAGGCGGGGUAACGGCCCACCUAGUCUUCGAUGGAUAGGGGUUCUGAGAGGAAGGUCCCCCACAUUGGUACUGAGACACGGACCAA